rnacentral:lncRNA from 1 species
UGAUGUUCUUUUGAGGAAAUACUUUGUUUUGGGUCAGAGUAUAUGGGAAAUCAACUUAUACCUUUCUGUGCUAUAAAUAGGUUGAUUAGCUCACUAACUAGGAGAGAAUUUCUCUUGAUCCAUAUGUCCUGUUGUGGUUAACAGGUUCUCAUCCUUUAGAUCUUUGAUCUGCUUAGAUCCAUACAAUCCAAAUUUAGGAAUGGAAGUUAAAUGAUUACUAAAUCAAAAAGAAAUGGCCAGAUUUAUUUUCCUAGAUCACUGAGUUGAACUCAUGCAUGUCUCCACGUUCGCAAGAUCAUGUAUUCGUUCUGUAAAUCCAAGCAAUAUAUGGUGACAGCAUAUUGUCUUUCCAAUUUAGAAAUGAAAUUGUAUGGUUAAUAAACUUCAGAAAAUAUGGCCAGCUUUACUUUCCUGGGAACAAUGUAAAACAAAUUGGAUUGAGCCUAUCAAUGGAGCAGAAGAAGAGGAUUAGGGGACAGCCCUCAGUGUCGUGUAAAUGGCGAGGAGAAGACCACAUGAAUUUAUUAUUAUUAUUAUUUUGAGCAAAAGGUUGGGGAAAACUAAACCAAUUCUUUGAGAAAAUGAAUAAGUGCUUACAAACUUUCUCAAGAGCAAGUCACAAACAACAUGGGAAAUGAAUCCAAGCAAAUCAAAGUCCACCUGAAAUGUACAACCUCAUCCUGAAGACCGCAGGAGUGUGAAAAUCUUUUAUUCUCUUCUAAGAUCUGGAAUGCAACAACUGCUUCCUCCCCAUGAAGGAAACAACUUCAUGGGGCUCAACGCUUUAUUGCUUGAUAAAACAAGUCCAAGUAUUUAAGUUUUAUCUUCCUCUUCAAAACCUUUUUUCUAGUUUUACAUGGUGAUGAUUCUUUCUGAAUGAGUUCUUUUGAGGUUUACUAUCAAAAAGUUUGUUAUCAUAUUAUUCUUCGAAAUGCUUAAGAAAUCAUGUCUCAUUUAAAAGAUUUUAUGUGAGGAGUUAUCUUUAUGGAUGCAUCUCAAGUCUUCACAUGCAAUCAACUGAAGUUCUAUGAAUAGUGACUUUCCUAAGUUUGGAUCAGUGAAAUGAAGGAACUAAGUUUUUGAAUUAAGAGACCACUUGGCCUAACCUUCUACCCUCUCUUUCUCUCAAAAAAAGAAAAAUCAUCAUAAAUUAGUUUGAGGAUAAAUCACUAACUUUUCCUCUCAAAGAGUUGAUUCUCAACACGCUCACCUUCAACCAAACACACUAUUGUAUUCUAGCUGAUGCAAGGGCAUCCUCCAUUUCUAUGUUGCUCAUGAGACGACAACGGGUGUGGAAAUGUGUAUUUUGAGCAUCUAAAUAUAUUACCAUUUUGCAUCUCCAUUCUUGCAUAAUUUUAGAACAUUUAUAACUCUGUUUUAUUAUGAUCAUGAUAAUGUUGCAACCAUGGAGCCAAGAGUUUGAGUAAUGUUUAUUUCCUCAAAAUAAGAAAAGAAAUGGAGUUUGUGCCAAACUUCUUGAAAUAAAUGAAAUUCACAAAACUGCGAUGAUCCCAUGGUCCCUCUUCCUUGUAUGAUCCAACCAUCCACCUAGAUGAUUUUCAGUGAAUAAAGAGCAAAUUCAGCUAGCACACCUCCUCUAGGCUAUUAUUUUCAACAAUAUCCAUUCAUUUGGGGGGAAAGCUGCAAGUACUAUUCUUAGGUGCUCUACUUGAUAUCGCAUAACAUUUUUCCCAUACAUAUUUCAAUAAUCUAUUACAUUUGCAUGUAAAACACAUAAUGCUUGUUAUUGGUUCUCUAGCUAGCAAAACACUACCAUGAACCAAACUCAGACCUCUCUUUCUAGCACUUGCUGAUGAGGAGAGAGGUGCCAACCACUUG